UACGUAGGGGGGCAAGCGUUGUCCGGAUUUAUUGGGCGUAAAGAGCGUGUAGGCGGCCAGGUAGGUCCGUUGUGAAAACUCGAGGCUCAACCUCGAGACGCCGAUGGAAACCAUCUGGCUAGAGUCCGGAAGAGGAGAGUGGAAUUCCUGGUGUAGCAGUGAAAUGCGUAGAGAUCGGGAGGAACAUCCGUGGCGAAGGCGACUACCUGGACCAGCACUGACACUGAGGCACGAAAGCGUGGGGAGCAAACAGG
rnacentral:rRNA from 1 species